GGGGAUGAAGCUCAGUUGGUAGAGUGCUUGCCUUGCAUGCACAGAGUCCUGGGUUCAAUCCCCAGCAUGGUUU
rnacentral:tRNA from 1 species